UUGCUGUGUCAUGUUUUGUUCUUGUAAAAUGUUGCAAAAUCUUGUAACCGUUAGCAUGGCCCAAGCAGUGGGUCACCCCUUUAAGUCUGGUCUGCUUGAGGUUUCUUCCUCAGUAUCAUCAGAGG